GUGCCAGCAGCCGCGGUAAUACGGAGGGAGCAAGCGUUACUCGGAAUUAUUGGGCGUAAAGGGCGCGUAGGCGAUCUGCCAAGUCCUGUGUGAAAGCCCAGAGCUUAACUCUGGAAGUGCACAGGAGACUGGCCGGAUUUGAGUUCAGGAGAGGAAAGCAGAAUUCCCGGUGUAGCGGUGAAAUGCGUAGAGAUCGGGAGGAAUACCAGUGGCGAAGGCGGCUUUCUGGACUGACACUGACGCUGAGGCGCGAAAGCCAGGGGAGCAAACGGGAUUAGAUACCCCUGUAGUCC
rnacentral:rRNA from 1 species